UGGGUAGUCCGCACGAGCGCACCUUGUCAUUAGUUGCUACAUUCAGUUGAGCACUCUAAUGAGACUGCCGGUGACAAACCGGAGGAAGGUGGGGAUGACGUCAAGUCCUCAUGGCCCUUAUAGGUGGGGCUACACACGUCAUACAAUGGCUGGUACAGAGGGUUGCCAACCCGCGAGGGGGAGCUAAUCCCAUAAAACCAGUCGUAGUCCGGAUCGCAGUCUGCAACUCGACUGCGUGAAGUCGGAAUCGCUAGUAAUCGCGGAUCAGCAUGCCGCGGUGAAUACGUUCCCGGGUCUUGUACACACCGCCCGUCACACCAUGGGAGCGGGUCUCGCCAGAAGUAGGUAGCCUAACCGCAAGGAGGGCGCUUACCACGGCGGGGUUCGUGACUGGGGUGAAGUCGUAACAAGGUAGCCGUAUCGGAAGGUGCGGCUGGAUCACCUCCUUUCU
rnacentral:rRNA from 1 species